rfam:Myotis brandtii contig292150, whole genome shotgun sequence.
GAGACACCCUUUUGAGGCAAGACUUUCUUCAGUGGGGCUUUGGUGCUCACUGAGUCUGCCCCCUGAUUGUGUCCCU